rnacentral:rRNA from 1 species
AUGCAGCAAGCACGAAUUGAGGAGAUGGCUGCACAAGAGGCUCUGAAUGAAGCGGCAUGGCACGCCCCAGAACCGGCCCAGGUGCAACUCCAGGAUAAUGGUUGGCCUUUGUGGCCUGUGGUUCCUCCGCCACACACAGGGUUCAGCUUCAGAACGUUCUUCCAGUACGAUGGACCGUCUCUGAUGGAUGGGGUGGAUCCUGAAAUCAAUAUCCAGGAUAAUCUGUCGGAUGUUUGGUCUUCUGACUUAGAGUUUCAAGCGGUGGAAGCUCUGGCGGAUGGUUUUGUGCUUGGGAAUCCUACUGCACGCCUUGCGUUCGUCAGAGCUGGAGGAAACUCAGCUAGUUUCUUUGUGACUGUCGACCAUGAUUUGUUGCUCUGGAUGGGAGGGAUGCUUAAACGCAUAUAUACGCCAGCCCUAGCCUUUCAGACUUCUGAGGCUGUUAUGUUUCCCCUCAAUCCUUUCAAGUUUAUACAGAACCAGUUGAAUGUUGCUGUGUCUGCCUGGCUGGAGGGCAUAGUCCCAGAGCGUGAUGUUCUGACAGAGGUGUUCAGUUCAAUCUUUCAGAUGGGGGCUGCCAUCAUCCCGUCGUCUUGGCUGUAG